rnacentral:lncRNA from 1 species
GUGGGUGAUCAUGGAGAAUGACGGCUGCUAACUUUUUUGAUAAGAUUAUGCCUAGGAGAGAGCACAGGAUGUGAAAAGAUAUGCCACAUUGCCACACCUCUGUUUGUGAAGCAUCAUCAAGAUUUAUUUCUGAUAAUGGAAAGGUACAUCAUUAAUUGUUUGAUGGAUAGCCACAUCCUUUUCGAUCGUUAAUUGGUGAUUGAUGCAGAUGUUGGCAUCUAUAAAUAGAGACUAACGAACGGAAAAACUCAAUCUCCCAUCUUCUUUCUUUGCAGAAACUCUUCUCUCCUGCCAUGAUGGCAUCGCCCCUACACUCCCCUUUGCAUCCCCCUUUGUUGUGGGUGAAGGCCAGGGUAAAGGAGAGGUGGGCUUUAUAAGAGAGGCCUAGAAAAGGGUGAGAGCCAAGAGCGUAGAUCUAUCUUCCUCUCGUCGGCACCUUCCACCUCACUAUUCCUGUCAAGGCCCCAGGUCAUCACACCCCCCAGUUCGAGCAAAUUCCUCCAGAGGUCCGGGUCUGCUACAUUCCAGAGUACCGAAACUCUAUGGAGUUUAGGAGGGAGAUCAUUGACAUUGCCGCCAACAGAUUCAUCGAUGGUUUCAAGAAUUGUAAGGCCCGCUUGCUGCAUAUAAUGCUGUAUUUGGAGCUCCAAUCCUUCCAGUCAGGGAACAGCGAUGAGAAGGCUUCCUCAUCAAAUAAGGACAGAGCCUCCUCAUCCUUGAGCUAGAGAUAGAGGAGAGUGUCCACCACUCGACCAUUGCUGUCGCUUAUG